rnacentral:tRNA from 1 species
GCGGUCAUAGUUCAGUGGUAGAACACCAGUUUGUGGCACUGGCUAUCUGGGUUCGAUUCCCAGUGAUCGCCCCC